GUUUUGGUGGUUCAGUGGUAGAAUUCUCACUUUUCAUGCGAGAGAACUAGGUUUAUUCCCAGCCAGUGCA
rnacentral:tRNA from 1 species